AGAGUUUGAUCCUGGCUCAGGACGAACGCUGGCGGCGUGCCUAAUACAUGCAAGUCGAGCGAAUCGAUGGGAGCUUGCUCCUUGAGAUUAGCGGCGGACGGGUGAGUAACACGUGGGCAACCUGCCCUGCAGAUGGGGAUAACUCCGGGAAACCGGGGCUAAUACCGAAUAAUCAGUUCCUCCGCAUGGAGGAACUCUGAAAGACGGUUUCGGCUGUCACUGCAGGAUGGGCCCGCGGCGCAUUAGCUUGUUGGUGGGGUAACGGCCUACCAAGGCGACGAUGCGUAGCCGACCUGAGAGGGUGAUCGGCCACACUGGGACUGAGACACGGCCCAGACUCCUACGGGAGGCAGCAGUAGGGAAUCUUCCACAAUGGACGAAAGUCUGAUGGAGCAACGCCGCGUGAGCGAAGAAGGCUUUCGGAUCGUAAAGCUCUGUUGUGAGGGAAGAACAAGUACGGGAGUAACUGCCCGUACCUUGACGGUACCUCAUCAGAAAGCCAUGGCUAACUACGUGCCAGCAGCCGCGGUAAUACGUAGGCGGCAAGCGUUGUCCGGAAUUAUUGGGCGUAAAGCGCGCGCAGGCGGUCCCUUAAGUCUGAUGUGAAAGCCCACGGCUCAACCGUGGAGGGUCAUUGGAAACUGGGGGACUUGAGUACAGAAGAGGAAAGCGGAAUUCCACGUGUAGCGGUGAAAUGCGUAGAGAUGUGGAGGAAUACCAGUGGCGAAGGCGGCUUUCUGGUCUGUAACUGACGCUGAGGCGCGAAAGCGUGGGGAGCAAUAAGGAUUAGAUACCCUGGUAGUCCACGCCGUAAACGAUGAGUGCUAAGUGUUAGGGGGUUUCCGCCCCUUAGUGCGGCAGCUAACGCAUUAAGCACUCCGCCUGGGGGAGUACGGCCGCAAGGCUGAAAACUCAAAGGAAUUGACGGGGACCCGCACAAGCGGUGGAGCCAUGUGGUUUAAUUCGAAGCAACG
rnacentral:rRNA from 1 species